GUUAGUUUUCUAUUCUUCAAACUGACGGCAAAACCGCUUAUUUAGACCGUGAAGAGACUGAACACAGCCUAAAGAAGAGAAUGAACAGCAAGGGGUUUCCUCGGGUUUCUUCUUCCUUUUAGUUGUUGACUUUGUUGCCAAACUCCCUAAGCUGAAAACGACACUGCCGUCUCGUGCUGAAAAGUGAAAACCAUAAACGUCAAUGGUGAGUGACAAGACAGUGUUGGCUGUGAUCAGGGCGUCGAGGCCCACCUUCCGCAACCAAAACGACAAAAUCGCCUUUGCCGUUCACUCCUCCUUCCUCGCCUCCGGUUACGUCCUCACCGCGACUGGUUCCCAAGCCCUCUCCGACACUGCGCUUUCCAAUUCUUCCAACGAGGAGGUAGCGGUUGAUCACUGGAACGAGCUAAAUGACGAGUACGCGUUCGUUUACGCAAACCCAGAAAGGGAUUCGAAAAAAGUACUCUUGAAGUGCCUUGUGAUGAACGAAAUAUUGCUCGUUGAUGCUUUGUCUGAAGGGUCUUCGGAGCCUGUCCACCUUGACAUUAAUGUUGGGAAAUAUGCAGGAGAGGAUGGCGGUAGCAAUUAUUCUCAGCACUUCAAGAAUUUGGACAAGCUUGUAAAGAUAAUAGAUGGGGAUAUCUUAUCUAAAUUUGAUGGUUCUGCUAAUGCUAGCUCGUCAAAUAAAAGGUCAGAAACAACUGAAAGACAAGAGAUACAUGAGACUGGUACUGGAUUUGGUGAUCCUGCCAUUCCCCCAAAUCAUCCUGCUGGAAUUGUGUUCCCUCCUGUUUCCAUUGGGUCUGGUAGUGAUCUUUUUCCGGGAGCGGCUGCUGGAAUGUAUCCUUCAAGUAUCAUUAAUGCUGAGUUCAACACAUGGAUGCAGGGCCUAAUGAUCCCCGUUUCUUCGGUGGUAUUGGCGGUAUCGGUGGAGAACCAGGCUUUCCUGGAGGACAGCUGGGUGUUCCUCCCGGUGCUCGAUUUGAUCCAUAUGGUCCUCCUGGUGUUCCUGGUUUUGAGCCUAACAGGUUUACAAGCUGUUGCUGCAAAUAGAAUGGUGGAACAAUUGGAGCGUCAGGAUAGGAAUUGGAGAAACGGUCUCGAAAAAGGGAAGGUUACGACUUUAGCUACUUCUCUGAAGAUUAACCCGCCUGAGUUCAGAGUAACCACUAAUCCCAUGGAUGCCAAUGAUUGGUUUCAAGAUAUCGAAAGGGCACUGCAAGCCCAACAUGUCCCCAGGAAUCAGUAUGUAGAAUUUGCCACAUACAUGCUUAAAGGAGGAGCACAAUUUUGGUGGCAAGGUGUGAGGCCUUUACUUCAAUGAAAUGAUGCCGAGAUCACCUGGGAGGAUUUCAAGAGGGAGUUAUAUAAGAAGUUCUUCCCGAAUUCAGUCCAAGCAGCUAACGAAGUGGAGAUACUGCAGCUAACGAAGUGGAUAUGUCUCUGGUCGAAUAUACGAACAAAUUUGAGGAACUUUUUCGUUUUUCUAAGGCGUGUCAAGGAGCCCCUGAGCACUACGAAGAGUAGAAGUGUAUUAAGUACCGAGGAGGAUUGUGAGCAGAGAUUCUCAAUACAGUAGGUCCAGUGGUAAUUACAAACUUCACAGAGUUAGUGAACAAGAGUCAGAUAGCUGAAGAGUGCUAUAAGAAGUGGGCAAUGACUCAGGCUAGUCAGAGGAGGCAAUUACAGAAAAACUUUUAUAAGAGUUUAGCCCCUCAAAGCCAAAGGUUCAAGGAUGUGGAUCAAUCUCCAUGAUAUUUUUGACAGGAGCCAAGUAUCUGCACUACGAAUGAUGCUCAAAGUUGCAGAAAGCAACCCCAGGAUGAUCAACUUGCUAGGAAAUGCCCAAAGGGAAUCCUCGUAGGCCAGGAUAUGACGCUCAUCCAGAUUUGCAACAUUUCCGGAGAGAUCCAGAUUCAGACUAUAUAUAGUUGUACAAG